rnacentral:lncRNA from 1 species
AUAAGUGCAUCACAUCAACAUAUUGUACAUGUUAAUUGAAAUACAACAUUUUAAAAAUUAAUACCAAGCUUUCUGGCAGUGACAACUUCCCCACGAGAAUAUGCCUCUCACAAAGGAUCUGCUUCAUCCCUCUCCAGAAGAGAAGAGGAAACACAAGAAGUGCUGCCAGGUGCUGAGCCCAAAUUCCUAUUUCAUGGAUCUGAAAUGACCAGGAGGCUAUGAAAUCACCACUGUCUUUAGCCAGGGGUCCCAGAGGCUGCUCUCCAGGCGGAGGCGCUAGGCUGGGCUCUCCUGCAGCGGGCCCCCCACGCCAGCCCUGCAGACCUGCAGACCCUUGGGAAGGGCCAUGUCCUCCUCCACGCCACCUGUGUCCUCCACGAGUUCCUCGUAGGUACUCCCUAGUCAUUGUUAAAAAUGGAAAAAAAAAGACUUUCAUGUUUCAUUUGGAUAAUACUGAUAAUUUGUUUAAUCA